UACAGAGGUGGCAAGCGUUGUUCGGAAUUACUGGGCGUAAAGGGCGCGUAGGCGGCCAUCUAAGUCAGACGUGAAAUCCCCCGGCUUAACCUGGGAACUGCGUCUGAUACUGGACGGCUUGAGUAUGGGAGAGGGAUGUAGAAUUCCAGGUGUAGCGGUGAAAUGCGUAGAUAUCAGGAAGAACACCCGUGGCGAAGGCGGUUCUCUGGGACGGUACUGACGCUGAGACGCGAAAGCGUGGGGAGCGAACAGG
rnacentral:rRNA from 1 species